UAAACUGAGACAGACAGAGGCCUACUGAAC
rnacentral:piRNA from 1 species